rnacentral:rRNA from 1 species
UCCAGCCUGCCGCGUGCAGGAUGACUGCCCUAUGGGUUGUAAACUGCUUUUAUAUAGGAAGAAACACUCCCACGUGUGGGGACUUGACGGUACUAUAUAGAAUAAGGAUCGGCUAACUCCGUGCCAGCAGCCGCGGUAAUA